GAUUCUGGCUCAGGAUGAACGCUAGCGGCAGGCUUAAUACAUGCAAGUCGAACGGGAUUCAGGUAGCAAUACUUGAUGAGAGUGGCGCACGGGUGCGUAACACGUAUGCAACCUACCUUUAACUGGUGAAUAGCCCCGGGAAAUCGGGAUUAAUACACCAUAACAUUACAAGAGGGCAUCCUUUAAUAAUUAAAGAACUUCGGUUAAAGAUGGGCAUGCGGGACAUUAGCUAGUUGGUGAGGUAACGGCUCACCAAGGCAACGAUGUCUAGGGGUCCUGAGAGGGUUAUCCCCCACACUGGUACUGAGACACGGACCAGACUCCUACGGGAGGCAGCAGUAAGGAAUAUUGGUCAAUGGGCGCAGGCCUGAACCAGCCAUGCCGCGUGAAGGAAGACGGCGCUAUGCGUUGUAAACUUCUUUUGUCAGGGAAUAAAUGUAGGUACGUGUACUUACUUGAAGGUACCUGAAGAAUAAGCAUCGGCUAACUCCGUGCCAGCCGCGGC
rnacentral:rRNA from 1 species